rnacentral:lncRNA from 1 species
UUGCACGCAUGCAGGAGCUCAAUCUGUGACUUUCGACUUCAAAAACAAUGUCCAUACACGGUCUGGCCAGGAACUCUAACGGCUGCUAGCGGUCCGUCUUUAUCUUCAACUGGCUUCACAUUGGCAACGGGUGCUUCAUCUUCGCUGAGUGUCCCUGUCAAUUGGUCUGGCCGCUUGUGGGCCAGAACGCAAUGCUCUACAGAUGCCUCGGGAAAGUUUGUUUGUGCUACAGCUGACUGCGCCUCUGGCGUCGUAGAAUGCAACGGAGCCGGUGCGAUCCCACCAGCAUCCUUGGCAGAAUUUACUCUAAGAGGUGAUGGUGGGAAAGAUUAUUACGAUAUAAGCCUUGUUGAUGGCUUUAACAUCCCGAUUUCGAUAACCCCGCAAGGAGGUUCUACUGGCUGCAAUUCUACAAGCUGUGCAGCUAACGUGAAUGCUGUUUGUGAUCCUAGUUUACAAGUGAAGGGUUCAGAUGGGACUGUGAUUGCCUGCAAGAGCGCGUGUUUGGCAUUUAACCAGCCGCAGUUCUGCUGCACAGGAGACUAUAAUACACCUGACAAAUGUCCUCCUAGCCAAUAUUCGAUGACUUUCAAGCAGCAGUGUCCUCAAGCUUACAGUUAUGCUUAUGAUGAUAAAUCGAGCACGUUUACUUGUCCUAGUGGAGGCAACUAUUUGAUUACCUUUUGUCCAUGAUCAAAUGUGGUGGUUCACAACCUUUUCUUUUCAUGGAAAGAGUUGGAGCACAACACAUUUAAUAAAUGUUUUUAUGAUAAUUAAUAAAUAAAUGGAAUAAUAGAUUUGGGAUUGACAUAUCCCAAAAGGACCGAUUAUCAAUUUUCAUGCUGUUGAUAUGGCAAGACUGUAUGCCAUUCAUUAUCUAUUAACGAUAUUUUUAGUUCAUUGUUCAAGGUACCAAUGCUUCAACUUAUAUGUAAUAAGUAGAUGUAGUGAAAGUUAGAAUAAUUAGAAGGUUUAACCUAUUGGUUAGCCAACCUUCUCUAUAUAUAUGUGUAUGGCAAUAUACAAUAGUAAUGGUGGAGGUUACUACACAAGAAUAUGACUACAAUAUUUUCUAUAUACAAUAUUUCCUAUAUAGGUACAUUUUAUAAUAUGCCCUCUCAAGCUGAAGGUGGAGGAUCAAGCUGAAGGUGGAGGAUCAACCUGAAGUUUGAACCGAAAAGCAAUAAAUGAAGCUGUAGGAAGUGGCUUAGUGUAGACAUCUGCAAGUUGAUCCCGAGAGGAAAUAAAACGAAUAUGAAUUUCCUUCUUUACAACUCUAUCUCGAACAAAAUGAUAAUCAACCUUAAUAUGUUUUGUGCGAGCAUGACAAACAAGAUUUACAGACAAAUAAGUUGCACCAAGGUUGUCACAUCAGUUGAAAGGAGCAGAAGUAGACGAAAUGUGGAUAUUUGUUAAUAAAUACUGAAGAUAGAUAACCUCAAUAGUGCCAUCGACUAAGGCUUUGUACUCAGCUUCAGUAGAAGAGCGAGCAACUGUACAUUGCUUACCUGAUUUCCACAAAGUCAACGUUUGACCAAAGAACACAAGAUAACCACUCAUAGAUUUUCUAUCAUCAACAUUGUCUGCCCAUUUUCCAUUGAUAAAACCAUGUAAGGCAAAGGAAGAACUGCGAGUGACACGACCAAAAGACUGAUGUCUUCUCCCAAGUACAUGAGUGCCGAAGUAAUAAAUAACCCGACAAGACCGGGGUCGAACCAUAUGGAGGUUAACUAUAUAAAUUAUAAAUAAUAAUAAUAAAUAAUAAUAAUAAUGGUAACAACAACAACAAUAAUAAUAAUAAGUUGAAGAGAGCUUUGAGAUGUGAUAUUGAUAUAAGGAUUAAACAAUGAUAAAACAAUUGUCAAGGUUAAAGGAUCCACUAAUGGUAUUUCAAACAAGUAUAGUAUAAAAUCAUAUUACUUAAUUGGAAACCACACACAAAGGAGGUUCCAAUCGGAUUACAAAUUGUUAACAUGGUUACAUUUGUUAUCUUAUUUGAAUAAUGCUAAUACUUGUAAAUGUUGUCAGGUAUUCAUGAUUAUAACUUAUGUUAACAACAAAUCAAGUUCCUUUCAUAGCACAUGUGUCGGUUAUACCAUACGGUUGAGCUAUGAAAGUGCCAAGUAUUUGUUGUACCAAGGGUUAUACAACAUAAAUUUAGAUUAAUCAUUUAACAAGCAAAGUAUUAAAAGUGAACAAGAUAACAAAUACAAAACAUGUCAGUAUGAAGCAUUAAAGUCCAUGUUGAGUUUAUACUAUAUUUAUUCUUAAACCAUUAGUGUAACCUUUUCACCUUGAUAUAAUAAAUUUAGCUAAACAUAAUGAAAUAGAGAAACAUAAAUAAACAAGAUAAGAACAUAAUUAUACAAGUAUAGUAAAGGAAAUGAAAAGCAAAAGCAAAAGAUUAAUAUAACAUAAAAUAAAACUUGAACAUUACAAAAUACAAAUAAAGAGAGCAAGAGGAAGAUCUUGAUCUGAACAACUAAGAUGCCUAAAUGCAUGGCAAAUGCCUCCUUUUAUAGACCAAAAUUUGGAACUAUUGAUUUGAUGACUAAUUGUUGAGUUGGUGGCCACAUCUUGACUUGGCGACAAUCCUUAUCUUCUUGUUGAACAAAACAUCAUUGCUAACGUCAGAAUUCAAAUAGACUUAAAUAAUGAAAGUUCUAGGAAAUUGUCUUAGCUUUCCAAUAUAAAAAUAAUUAGUGCAUUUGGACUUCUAGAACUCGAGAUAUAGGUUGAACACUGAACAUUGUCUGGGUUGUAAGACAUAUUCGGACUUCUUCGUUGUUGCUACAAUUUGUACUUGAAAACGACCUUUUUAAAUCUUGGACUUCGCAUAAAAGUUUUAGGCCCAUGUCUUAGCUUUCCAUCCAUAUAGAGCAUACCUAAAUCUGAGAUCUACAGCUAUAGAUAUGACCUAGUGUCCAAACAAUGUUCCAGUUUGGACUGAACCAGAAUCUCUUUUCUAAAUUUGGCCCUCUCUUUGUUUUUUCAAUUUCAGUAGUUAAACUCAUCAAUCAAUCCUUUGAUUUAUGAAUAGGCUUGCAUUUAAGUUGAACAUUUACCAUAAAUUAAGGUAUCUUAUAGUAUCAAACUUGUUAUUAUAAAACAUGCUUUAGUUAAGGAGUUAUUGGUACUUCAAGUGCAAAAUGAUGAUUGUUGUUACCCAAUUUUUGACCCACCUAUUUGAUAAAAUUUUUGAAAAAAAUCAAAAAAUAGCGAAAAACAACGAAAAUUCAAAAAAACAUGUUUUUCAUAUAUUCGCAUCGUUUUUAGCAUUUUCAACGCCAUUUAAAAAAUAAUUUAAAUUUUCAAAGGUUUUUCAAACGCGUUCGACUUUUCACGCGUCAUUUUUAAAAUCAUUGAUUUUCCUCAUUGAAUCGACGUUGGUAUUGCUUGUUUGAAAAAAAUACAAGAAAAAACAAGAAAAAAAAGCAAAAUUUAGAAAAAAAAAAAAGGAAAGUUGAGGGACCAAUUUUGAGGACCAAGCAACAUUUUACCUAUAAAUAUAAGUCAAAAAAAUUUCCGGGGGGGAAAUUCACAAAGAAAAGGGGGCAGUUUGGAGAGUAAAAAAAAAAGAAAAAGAAAACCCUAAAUCUAUCUCUUCUCCAAGCUGCUGCCCCCCUCCCCUUCAUCACCAUUUUCCCUUCUUCUCGCCAGCCAAGGCUUGAACUCCCUUAGCCCAAACACAGCUACCCCUCCCCUUACCAAGCAGAUCUCCCCUCUCAGCUCCUCCCUUCUCCAGCCGCUCACUCCCCCCUCACCCAUAACAAAUCAGAACCAGCCACCCCCCUUUCCCUUGGAAACCGAACUAGCCGCCCUUUCCCCUCCAUCGUCCAUCUUCUCUCUUGGUUUUUCCUCAACCCUUCCACCGCCGGUGACAGAAAAGCAACACCAGAAUCGCAGACUGGCCUUCCUUAGUGAUAUCUCCGCCUCAACACCGUGACCGGCCUCCACCAUAACCGACCGACAGCAGCUCGGCACAGCGGCGCCCACAGAUCCCAGAUCAUUCCACCUUUUCCCCCCCAGCAAACUCGAACCGGCCACUAGCUGCUACACAGCUGUAGCCGCACAACCGCCAGACCUGCCACCCAAAGUAGAGGAGAAGACGAAACCCACAAAAAAUUGACCCGCCGUGAAGUUGAAGAAGUAGAAGGGAGAGAAGCCGAUCUGGAACACAAGGAAAAAAAAUAUUAAAAUCAACUGCUGCUAUGCGUUGUUUCCCCUUGUUGCAGGUGACGGUGACCUUCACCGCUGGCGUAGGAAGACAGAGAAGAGGAAGAUGACCCCGAUCAACCAGUUCUGCCACCAGUGAAUCCACGUGCCGCCAGUGGCGGGGGCACGUGGAACAACGCGCUGCCACUGUUCCCGCACCAGAAAACUUCCUUGACACUGUUCUGGCUUGCAGAAGGCUAUCCCUAUAAUUUCAUGGUUUUGGGGUUAAUUUUUGUAAUUGUAAAAUUGUUUAAUUUUUUUUUUGUUUAGUUUUUUUUUAUAAUUUGUAAUGUGGAUAUACCAAAAAAAACAAAAAAAAGAAAAAAAAAGAAAAAAGAAAGUAUAGUGAAAAGGAAAUGUGUGAUUUGUAUUUUGUUUAUGUUUUUUUUUGUAUGAUAAAAUUGCAAGAAUAAAGAAGAAUUUAAUAUUUUAAUUUGCUCACGGAUAAAGAAUUAUGAACUUACACGUAAGUCGAAUUUCUAAAAUUCGAUGAAAGAAAAUAAUUUUUAAAACUUCUGUAACACAUCAAGUUCACGAAGCAGCUUAACUCAGAUAUGGUGCGUUAGGGGUGCUAAUACCAUCCCUAACCACAACCAGUCCCUUACUCGUGAAUCUCUGACAAGACCAGCAAAACCAAUUGAACGCAGAAACGAAAAAUCACCAGCCGAUGCCGCGCGGAUUUGAUGUGUGACAAUGAUAUAAAACCUUGAUAAAAAUACACUUUUAAGUACUAAUUAGCGAGUAAUAUGUAGGCCAUGUGAUGUCCUACCCUAAGAUAACACAAUAUGCAUUUAAUGGCAACCCAAUGAGAAUUUGUAGGAGCAUGCAUAAAUUGACAAACUCUGUUAACAACAAAGCAAAUAUCUGGACAUGUAAAAGUGAGAUAUUUAAGAGCACCCAAAAUUUGACGAAAGCGUGUAGCAUCAGAAAACAAGGGAUCUAGAAGAAUGGUAGCUUUGGAUGUAGAGAUAGGAGAAUCAACAGGUUUGCAAGAUAACAUAUCAUCCCGAGUGAGGAUGUCAAGUGUAUAUUUAUGCUGUCGAAGCAUAAGACCCUUACCAGUAGGCUCAACUUCAAUACCCAAAACAUAAUGAACAUAACCCAAGUCGUGAAGCUUAAAUUCUGAGCUCAGUAGCUAUAUGAGGCGUUGGAGCAUAAGAGAGUUGCUACCUGUAAGCAGAAUAUCAUCAAUGUAGACCAGAAGAUAACAAAUAUCAGUACCAACAGGGAAGAUAAACAAUGAGGUAUCCACUUUAGAGGCAUGCAAACCAAUAGAUAAUAGGAAAUCAUUCAGACUAGUGUACCAAGCUUGUAGAUCCUGUUUUAAACCAUAUAGAGACUUAUACAUAAUCAAUAAAACCUGGAGGUUCUUUCAUGUAGACCUCCUCAUCAAGAACACCAUUGAGGAAGGCAUUAUGGAUAUCAAGCUAAUGAAUUUUCCAAUCACACGAAACAACAAUGGAGAAGACUACUCUGAUGGUCGCUUGUUUGAUAACAGGACUAAAAGUUUCAGAGUAAUCAAUACCUUCUUGCUGAGUGAAACCUCUAGCAACUAGAUGCGCCUUAUACCUCUCGAUGCAUCCAUCAGAUAUGCGUUUAAUCUUGUACACCCACCGACUACCAACAACAUUCAUGGAAGGGUGAAACGGUACAAAGACCAAGUUUUGUUAGUGUGUAAGGCCUGAAUUUCCUUGCGUAUAGCACUAUGCCACGUCUCAUACCUGUUAGCAUCAUUAAAAACAAGUGGCUCAUGAGUAGGAAGAUAUUUAAUUUUAAGUAAAAACUGACGUUCAGCAAGUGUUUGAAAUUGUUGGAAAGUGGAAAACACAUUAGAUUUAGCAACAAACGAAUAAUACCAAAUGUGUUUAGUACGCGCAUCGAUAAAGAUAAAAAGUAGCGAAGGCCAUCAGAGGAAAACACAGGGGCAGGACCCCAAACAUUACUAAAUAUUAUAUCAAGUGGGACGAUAGUUUUAUCACAAUCACAUAACCUGGGUUGACUUAAAAAAUUACGAAUAUGAAAUCUAUUGAGAAACUAAGAAUUGACUAAGCAAUCAAUUCAUGCAUGAAGUACUUGUUUUAGACCAUAAAAAAUGUUUUAGUUUGCGAAUAUGGUUUGGGGAUUAAGGAUCAAUAAAGCCUAGAGGUUGGGUUAUAAAGACAUCUAGAUCAAGAAAUCCAUUAAGAAAAGCAGUGUAUAUAUAUAUAUCAAUCUAAUAAGCCAACCAACCUCAAGUAUCACCAAUAUCGAGCAUUUUUUGAAUAGUGUAAGGCUUCUCUAUUAGAAUUUUGAAGAACCUCCACACCAAGAAAAUAUUUCAUCUUGCCCAAAUCAGUCAUAUGAAAUUCAAGUUUCAUAGAAUUCUUGAAUUUAACAAAUAAACUUUCACUAUUACUAGUAAAAAUUAAAUCAUCAACAUAUAAGCUAACGAUCAAAAUUAUACCUCCAUUUCCUAUUUUUAUGAAUAAAGUGUGUUCACAGCUGCACCGCUCAAGUCCUUCUUUGACAAAGUAUGUUUCAAUCCGGCUAUACCAUGCACGAGGGGCUUGUUUAAGGCCAUAUAAUGCCUUUUUUAAUCUGUACACCUUGUGCUCUUCACCUUUCUUCUCAUAACCUUGUGGUUGCUCUACAAACACUACUUCAUUUAAUUUGCCAUACAGAAAGGCUCUUUUGACAUCAAGCUGAUACACAUUCCAUCCAUGUCGAGCUGCUAAAGCAAUCACCAUUCGAAUUGUAUCCCAUCUAGCCACUAGUGCAAAUACUUCAGUAUAAUCAAUGCCAUGUUGUUGUGCAUACCCUUCGCCACCAACCUAGCUUUACAUUUGUCAACUUUGCCAUUUUCAUUGAGUUUAGUCUUAAAGACCCAUUUUACUCUAAUUUUCUUCAUUCCUUUAGGCAAAUAUGUCAGCUCCCAAGUUUCAUUUCUUUCAAUUGCGUCUAUUUCAAUUUUCAUUGUCAUUCUCCAUUUGCAAAUAUGUAAGUGAAGUGAAUAAAAGCAAGUUUUACUUAGCUUCUUCUUCUAUAAAUUCUCCUCCACUCAUGUAAUCUUCCAUCCAUAAUGGCGCCCUGCUGCUUCUUCUUGCUGGUGAAUCUUAUAUAGGGGAACUAUGCAAGUUAUCUGGUGAACUAUCUGUGCUUCUUCCUAUCAUGAUCUUGUUGUUUCAGCUUAUGUUGAGUGUACUGCAAGUGAACAUGAUUUUGCUCUAACAAGAUUGCAUGAAGAUGAGCUGGCUUCUGCAAUGGCUUCUGUAUUACAUAAAGGUAAGCCAACUUCUGUCUCUUCUUCAUCUUCUUCAUUUUGAUAAGCUUCUGCUUCUUCUUCUGCUUCAUCAUGUUCACUCUCUUCAUUGAUGUCUCCCAACUCAAGAGUAUCAGAUACUGGUACUUCAUCAUUCCCUUGCCAAUUCCAACAUUCUUUCUCAUUAAAGACCACAUCACUGCUUGUUACUAUCUUCCUGGAUAUUGCAUUAUAAAGUCUAUAUGCUUUAGACUCUUCACUCAUCCCCAACAACACACAUUUAAAACUUAUCUUUUGAACUUGUUUCUUCGACAACAUGCUUCUGACCAUGUUCAUGAUGGUCCUAUUCUUGCGUUCAACCACUCUCUUUUGUUGGGGAGUAUAUGUUGUAGUGAGUUGUUUGCUAAUAACAUGAUCUUUGCAAAAAUUAUUGAACUCAAAAGAUGUAGACUCCCCACCUCUAUCUAUACUCAAGCAGCAAAUGAAAGUUCCUGCUUCUUUUUCAACCAUGUUUUUAUAAUUCUUAAAAACAAUGAAUGCUUGAGAUUUGGCAGCAAAGAAGUAUAUCCACACCUUACGGCUAUAGUCAUCAAUAUAGUUUAUGAAAUACCUCUUCUUGUUGUUUGAAGUAGGUGUGAUAGGACCGCAGAUAUCGACAUGAAUCAGUUGCAGUCUUUGAGAUGCUCUCCAUAAACUUCUCUUUGGAAUUACCUCCCUAUGUUGCUUGCCCACCAUGCAAUCAGUGCGGAUUUUGGAUGAAUCUUUCAACUAUGGCAAUCCUCUAACCAUUUGUUUAUGCUGCAAAAUUCUUAGACCUUUAUAAUUUAAGUGUCCAUAUCUGCAAUGCCAAAGAUGAGAGUCUUCAAACGUUGUUUGAAAACAGUUGGUAGUUUUUGGUGCAACUGUUGCAUGCAACAUGAACAUUCUGUUUGCAGACAUUCUUGUUUGCACAAUAAGUCCCCUCUCUGGAUGAUAGAGUUUACAAACUCCAUGUUUGAUGAAAACAGCUACUCCUUGUUCUUGCAUUUGUCCAAUGCUCAACAGAUUAUUCCUCAAUUCAAGUAUAUAGAAGACAUUUGUUAUUACUUGAAUAAUUCCAGCAAGCUGCAAUCAUAUGGUACCCUUUCCUAGCACAGCCAUUUUUGAAUCAUUCCCUAGCUUUACAGAUUGCUAAAAAUAUUCAUCAAGAUCAGAGAACCACUGCUUGUGUGCACACAUAUGAUUGCUGCAGCCUGAGUUAAGAAACCAGACAUCUUCUUGUCCUGACUGAUUAUGCUCCACAUAUGACAUUAACAACAACUCUUCUUUUUCUUCAAGCUCUACAUAAUUUGCUUCCUUCUCCCAUUUCGUACAUUCAUACUGAAAAUGUCCUAAUUGAUGACAUUUAUAACACUCUAUUAAGGCUUUGUUAAAAACUGGAUUGAUUCUUCCUCUACCUCUUCCCCAAAAUGCUCUAUGUCCUUAACUGCCUCUUCUUCCACCAAAUCUGUUAUCAUAUGUAACUUUCAAUGCCUGCUCAUCUCUUUGGUGCCCAUUCAUCCUCUGCUCAUGGACAAGUAAACUGCUCUAUAAUUCAUCAAUAGUUAAUGUGUCUAAAUUAUUGGAUUCUUCAACAGAACACACCACAUAGUCAAACCUUGAAGUCAUUGAUCUCAAUAUCUUUUCAAUGAUCAUAACUUGUAUAUUUUCACCAUGAAUCUUCAUCUUGUUGGCUAUGAUGAGUGUGUGAGCAAAAUAUGCAUCAACACUCUCCCCUUCUUUCAUCUGUAGAAUUUCAAAUUCUUUUCUAAGAGCUUGAAGCUGUGCUCGUUUCACUCUUGUAGAUGCCUGGUAUUUCUGCUUCAUGGAGUCCCAAAUAUGCUUGGUUGUGUCUCUAUUGAGAAUUGUUUCCAUAACAGUUCGAUCAAUAGCUUGAAACAAGUAGUUUUUUACUUUUAAGUCUUUCAGCUUUUGAUCAUUAAUAGAUUGUCGCUAUGCUUCAGUAAUUUCAACUCCUUCAGCUAUACUAGAAACACCAUUCUCCACCAAGCUCCAGUAUUCUUUUGAGCAAAGAAAGUUUUCCAUAAGCAUGGACCAAUGAUCAUAAUAACCAUUGAACUUAGGAAUUGUAGGUUGAACAAAUGAAUUUUCAGCUGCCAUUUGAUAAUGCUCUCUGUGUUUAACUCUCCUUUAAAAUAAUUCUCUCACUCUCUGUGUUUAACUCUUUAAACUCUCCUUAAGAAACUACAGUUUCUUGUGACUCACAACUAAAUUCUAUAGCAAGCUCUAAUACCAAUUUUGUUGAAGAUAAAACAACUUAUAGCAAAAUACUUGAUGUUGCAUCACUUAUUAAUUAAAGCAACAUAGAAGUUGGCUUAUAUAAGCCUUACAUGAAGUUUAACAGAAAACUUAACAACCCAUGUUUUACGUGGUAACAAAUAGGAAAUCAGUUAUAAACUUAGUCUACGUGUCCUAUGCAAUAGGAUUUAUUUAACAGAAAUAUUGACAAAGUCAACAAUAAAAAAUCUCAACAGUUUUUAGAGUUUGGAUAAGGGUACUGAUUGUGUAUAUUGUGGAUAUUAUUACCCCUAAUACAUCAUAUCGAAGAUAAGUUGUAUUAUUUAUUUGUUUUAUUAUUACUAAGGCAUUGUUUUUUUAUUUUUUUUCUUAUCAUUGGUUUCUCUACUGGUUAAAGUAAGUCUAUCCCAAUAGAGUGAACCACUAGCUUUAAUGGUGAAGCCUAGCCAUUAUAGAGCCAAAACAUAUUUUUAUCGUUGUUUGUUUUAAUAUAAAAAAUAAAUCUUACGUAUAAGCUUAUAAUUCAUAUUAAAAUAAACAAAUUAAAUUUUUUAGUGUUUUUCAAACUUAGGCCAAAUACCUGUGGAUUUAAUAAAUUUGUUUUUAAAUAUAAAAGGGUAAAGAAAGAAAAAUUAAUUGCAAAAAUGCUCUUCAAAACUUGAAAAAUAAUUAAAAUAAGACUAAGAUUAGUUUGACAAAACACCAAAAAAAAAAAAAGAACAAUGAAAAGUAGGUUUGGGCAUAUUUACCACACAUGUCCUUAGUGAAAACAAAAACCCUAAAAUUUGUCUUAAUAGCGUGUUUGUGCCAUAAAGACCCAUAACAAUUUUUUUUUGUUUUUCUUUGAUAUUAUUAAAACCGUGAUAAACCUAAAUUUAGAUAUCAACCUACUUAACUCUAGAAAAGAGAAAUAUAGUUGUACAUACCUUGCAUUAACGAAAAGCCAUGGGACAGUAAAAAGAAAUGAUCCAGAAACCCUUACACAUACCUAGCAUCAUCGUUUACAAGGGAUCCAAAGCAAGGUAGCCAUCAUCUCAUGUCAAGGAACCUUGGGUAAGAGCAUUCUUAAUUAACCAGGAAAGUUCUUAACAUGACCUUAGGACAUGCAAUCAAGUUUUCAAGACCAUAUGUUCUUGAUAUAUUUGCAUCAUUUUAAGCAUUUUCAACGUCGUCUAAAAAAAAAUUUAAAUUAUUAAAGGUUUUUUGAAUGUGUCAACUUUUAAUGCGUCUUUUUAAAAAUCAUUGAUUUUCCUUGUUGAGUCGACGUUGACAUUUUACUCAUUUUCAAAAGAUUCAAAAUAUAAAAAAAAUAGGAAAAAUCAAAUUUACAAAAAAAAGAAGAAGUUAAGGGACCGAGUUUGGGGACCUAACAAUAUUUUUGUCUAUAAAUAGGAGUCUCCAACACACAAAAAAGCAAGAGGUGCAAUUUUGAAACAUAAAAAUUUGGGCAACAAUAAAAAUAAAACCCUAAACCCAAAUUUUCUCUCCCAGCAAAGAGGAGCCGCCACCGCCCUCCUUUUGGAUUUUUGGCCUUCUUCCCUUGCACUUGAAGGAGCCUCCCCUCUCAGCCAAGACAACCCCUUACAAAUCUCUCUCUCUCUUAGUCAUUUCUUCCCACUGUCUGCAUUUCAUCACCAUUUUCGCCAUCUCCUAACCAACCCGAAAGCGACUAGACAACCACUCCCAUCUCCAUCGCAGCUUCAGCGACCAUAGAACCACGAUCUCCCUCAUCAGUCCCAGCAGCGCCGUCCUCACCGGAGAUCUAGUAGCCCACAGAUCCCUAUCUCUUCCCUCACUGUCGACCAAAACAUAUCUUCCCUAAUCAGCACAGACCAGCCUCCAUCAAAGCCUCCUAGCUGACACCAACCUCUAGACGCCCACAGAUCCAUUGUUGUCCCUUUCCCAGCACUGACGCCCCUCUCUCAAUCAUUCCUUCACUUUCUCACCAACUACCCAAAGCAAAAGAGAAGAAGAUGUAAACCAAAAAAAGAUCUGCGGUGAAAUAGAUCUGAAAAAGAAAGGAGAUUGAGAACAUAUCUAAAAAAGAAAGAAAAUUUUACUUUACUGCUUGUUGUGUUUUUUGGUGUUUUGCAGGACACUGUUGGAAUAGAAAGACAGAGAAGAAAAAGACGUUCCUGAUUCACCCUUAAUCGGCGAGAGCACAUGAACCCACGUGCUGCCAUUGGCGAUGAUGUAUAGAGCAAUGCACUGCUAUUGUUUCUGCAAUUUCAAAGGGCUUCGCUGCACUGUUCCUGAAUUUUGAGGGGUUCAUUUUGUAAAUUUAAAAUUGUUUAAUGUAUUCUUUGAGUUAUUUUGAAUUUUUAUUGAUUUGUAAACAUGUAAUGGGUGUGUGCUUAAACAUAGUAAAAUAGAGUGUUUGAGUAGGUGUGUUUGUUAUUUUUUUUAUGCAUGUUUUUUUAUGAUAAAAUUAAAAAGAAAAAAAAAGACAAUGAAAUGUUUUGAUUUACAUAUGGACAAGUGUCUUAAAGAUACAAAGAAAAUCAUAUCAUAUUUCACAUGAAAAAUUAAGAAUAUGUUUUGCAUAUAUUUUGAGAUUUAAUAACCAUUUUAUUAAAGCUUUGGGAAUUUCAUUUAUAUUUUAAAAAAAUAUCAAAAAAAUAUUUUGUUUUCUUUUGGUAUCUAGGAUUACGAUCUUAUACGUAAGACGUACUCUUGAUAUUGAAUAGAAAAGUUUUUUUUAUUUUAUUGAUGCUAAAGAAAUUAUGUUUUCUUUACCCGAUAAGAUAAUAAUCUCCUUACUGAGGAGAACUUUUCUUCUCUUUUUAAGAAGUCAUUCACAAACAACUUUCAAAAUAUUUAAAUUACAUCAAACCACGAAGCAGCUUACCUCAGGUAGGGUGUGUUGGGGGUGCUAAUACCUUGCCUAGCCACAACCAGUCCCUUACCCAUUAAUAUUUGACAAAGACCAGCACAUUCAGGUUUCUUAGUAACCCUGAACCAAAUACUAGGUGGCGACUCCUAAGAAUCAACAAACAAAAAUUACCAUCGACGUCAUGCGAGACUUGUGCGACACUAAUAAUGAUAGCAGCUACAUGGAUCAAAAAUAUCACAACCAAAACAAAUUAAGUCAAUACCAAAAUCCAACCAUCUCGUUUCCAAUUGUCGUACAUGAUGCACCAUUGAAGCAAACAUCCUCCUGAAAUUCUAUAUUGGCAUGUGGUGUGGGAAAAUGGAUAGGAUAAGGAAUUAUUGUCCUUUAUUAGUGUAAAGAGGGAAUGAGAGUCGUCAUCUAGUAUUGUGGUUACUAGAAAUCUUAAUGUGUCUUAGAGAUUGGACACAAAGACUAGUUGCGUAAAUGGAAGGUAUUAACACUCCUAAUACUCCUUACUUAGUAUUAACACCCCUAAUACUCCUUACCUAAGGUAAGAUGCAUUGUUUGAUUGUUUGAUAUAACUAGAGUAUUGUUGUGUUUUCUAAUUGUUGGUUUGUCUAAGGUUUAAGAAAAGAUCUCCUAAGUAAGGAGAUCCUAAUCUUAUUGAGUAAAAACCUAACCAUUCUAAUAUCUAUAUAUGAAAGAACUAUAUUUUUGUUUUCCAAACACACACACAAAAAACAUUUUGGAGAAAAUUGUGUAUCUGAAUACCAAAUUUAUAUUUUUAUAAUAUAAAAAUACAAACCAAUGUUAAUCAAAAUUUAUAGAAAAAUACGUGAAAAGUCACAAAUGUUUUCAAAAGUUUUUUAGAGCUUUUUGUUUUUUUGAAUAAUAUAUAAUAUUAAUAUUAUAUUAUAAAAAUAUAUUUGGUUGGACCCAGCCCAAUGAUAUGGGCUGAAUCAACCCUAGUUGGGUCGAGAUUUGGCCCAAACAAACUAGGCUGAGUUUGGCCCAACAGACUUGGGCCAAUAUUGGUCCAAAAUAGGGGUUGGUCUGAUUUCGGCCUAAUAGACUCUAUUCUCUCUCUUUUUUUUUUUUUUUUUUUUUUCCUUCCCUCUUCUACUUUCUAAUUUUUUUUUUGUUCCUCCUCCUUUUGUUCUUGUCAUCCCCUUUUUUUUUUCUCCUUCCUUAUUGCGUGGUGAGGGGGUAUUUAUAAGGGCCAUGGGAGAGAGCUACCCUGCCCCUGUCUAGUCAUGGUGACGGGGUAGGGUGGCUGGGGCGGCCUUUGCGCAGUCGCUCCAGAGUCGCCUGCAAGGCUUAUCUCCCCUACCCCUUUCAUCAUAGUGGUAGGUUAUAAGUGUUUUUGGGUAAGAGGGAGGGAGAGACAGUGCAAAGAAAGGGAAGAAAAUCCUUCUUCCCUUGCCUUUGCGCAUCAAAGGAAAAAGAAGACGUAUAGUGCAGUUCAAAACAAGCUUUUAUAUAUAUAUAUAUAUAUAUAUAUAUAUAUGAACAGUGAAUAAAACAAUGUUAUUUUGUACAAAAUACGCCGUUUCAUUUAAAUGAAAAUGGCACCAAAACGUAUCAAUUUCCAAAUCAGUCCUUAGCUUUUUAUUUAUUCAUCAAGUCCUCAAUUGCAAUUUUGAUUUUAAGAAUUAAAUCAAUUGCAUACUUGCCAAAUUCAAAUGUCACCUUUGAUGUUGGUCGUCUUUUUCUCUUUAGUCCUUGGUAUUGAAUUUGUGCAUUUUGACCCUCAAUUGAUUAACAAACUUUCAAUUUCUUCAAUUUAGCCCCUAAAAGAUUUCAACCCUUAUAUUCAUGCACAUUUUCCAGUUUGGUCCUUGAUUUUGGAUUUCUUCAAUAAAGUCUCUAAUUGCCUAUCAAACUUUAAUAUUUAUGCAAUUGAACCCUUAAUUUGACCAAAUUAACUCCUAGAAAUUGUAAUUCGACUCUCAAACUUUAACUUCCAAUUAAAGCCAAAAUUAACUUAAAAAACAUUUUUUAUUGCAAUCAUCUUCGUAAACUCAAUUAAUCUUUCAAAAAAAAUCUAAUUAAGUCCUUAAACAUCUGAUUUUAAACUUUUCUUCCUCAAAUUCAAUUUUCUAUCUCAAUGAGGCCUUCAUUAAUAAAAAAAUAGUGAUAAAUUUCAAUAUUUGUAUUUUUGAACUUAACCAAUCUUUGGCCAUUUUCUAGGCGUCCUUGUGUCUUCUUCUCACUGCUAUAUAUUUUUUUGGUUUUCUUCCAACAAUUUUUUUGUUGAUUGUUUUCUUUUCUCUUUUUUAUGUAGGGACCCAAAACUAGAUAACAACAUCAAUCUCACUUAUCAAAACAAAACACCACUAUCAAUGUUGUAAUCUCUUUCUAACAUCAUCAUAAUAGCUUCUUAACCGGUAGUAGCACAGGCAGUAACAAUGGAAGCAGUGGUGGCGAAAGAAGGAAAACAAGAGAGAGAAAUUAAAUGUUCAAGUGAAUUGAUCUCCCUCAUCAAAGAGUGGUGGACUACACCACCAAUGUAGAAGGGAAGAGAAUAGAGUGGCACACCCGAUCUAGUUAACCACCUAUGUGACCAUCAUUGGUGAGGCUCAUGGCUACCAGAGAAAGAAGAUCAGUGGAGUUGAAAUUUCUACUUUGUUCUAUUUCUAUUGUAAUUCCUCUUUCUCUUUAGCUCUUCUGUUUAUUGCUUAUAGGUGCUACAGUCACCAUGGGCUUCUUAAGUUAUGUGGUUGGUUGCUAUACACAAUGAAGAUUCCUGGUGGCUCACGAGAGCUGUUGAUGGUUGUCAAACAUGUGUGACAUCAUGGCUAACAUCCUUUCAGAUAGGAAAAUAGAAAAGACUAGGAAUUCUUGUCUUUUAUUAAUGGGAAGAGGGAAUGAUAGUUGCCACCUAUUAUUUUGGGCACUAGGAACCCUAACUAGUUUCAAAGAUUAGGCUUGGGGACUGGUUGCGUAAAAAGAAGGUGUAACAACCCUGAUUUUUUUUCAUCAUUGUAAUUUUUAUAUACAGGUUCCACCAAAAAUUCAGCAGAGUCUCCUCUAUAUAAGGAGGUCCCAAGUUAAUGACAAAUUCAUAUUACACUUCUAAUUUCAUUUCACAAUCCGAUCCAAUAAUCCUGGAUCUUAACUCAACUCAUCAUCACUAACACAACACAUCUUAUUCAAUAACAUUAUACAAUUCAAGUUCACAAAAUAACAAUGCAUAAUUCAAUUGUUACAUCAUUGAAACUAUAUCUUGCAUAAUAACAUCAUAUAAUGUUAUUCAAGGGAAGGAUUCAAUUACAACUAUAAACAUGCAUGGUUAAAUAGGUACUUAGAAUUACAAACAUUAGAUUAAAGUCAUACAUCCAAAAGUAUGGGUUAAUAUUACAUUUCAAGUUUUAGGAAAUAAGUCUUUUAAUUUACAAAUUAUUACAAGGGCAAAAGUAAAAGGUAACUAAACUAAGAUAACUCUUGACGCGACCCUGCUGAACCUGGAAAUAAAAAUUAAUAUGUACAUAUAAAUAUAAAAAGGUAGUAACAAACAAUAAUAAUGACAAGUAAUGAUUUCUAUAGAAUUUCUUUUGAUACAUAAAAUUAGACAUUGACCUCUUUUACAACAUACAUUUUCCAUCUAUUAUCAAUAUCCAUCUAAUAUCCUAUCCCAUUUGCCGAAAAUAAUUUUAUCUUGGAAAUCUCAAUACAAUUCAAUAGUUUCGAACACCAUCUCCUUAUGAAUCAAUUCUCACUUUAUACUAAGAUAUUCCUCUCUUAGUAUCAUUAGCUUAUCUCAUUCUUUCAGAAUAACUAAUCAAUAUUUUAUCUUUCAUUUUUCAGAAGGUAAUUGUCGAUACUUUUGAAUCUCAUUAGUAUCAUUAGUCUUUAAUUUAAUAUCGAGUUAGACUAAUCAAUUCCAUUUAAGUGUUGAUAUCAAUACAACCAAUUGAUAUCAUUAACUAUUUCUACCCCAAAAUAGUUAAUCAAUUCUUAUUCACAUCUGGUUUACCAUCGAAGUUGUCAAUGUCAAGAACCCUUGCCAUCAUUAGCCUCCUUACCUGGAGAAGCUAAUCACACCAGAAAUUGUUGCCGAUACCAAUAGGACCCAUUGAUAUCAUUAACUAUGCACGACCUAGAAUAGUUAAUCAACUUAUCUUUUCCCCUUAACCAGGAGUAACCAUGCCGAUGUUAGAAAUCUUUACUAACAUCAUUAGUCACCCAAUUACUCGGGAUUGACAAAUUAAUUUAAGGAAUGCCGGCACAAAUAGAACCCCAUUGAUAUCAUUAAAUAUCCAAGCCCAGAUAGCUAAACAAUGUCAUCUGAAAUGUUGGUACCAAUGGAACUUCAUUGAUACCAUUAGCUAUCCAAACUUGGAUAGCUAAUCAAUAUCUUCUCAACCUUCCAUUUGUAUCGAUUCCCUUUUAUUCUUCUUUUUAACUUCAUAUACAUUGUAACCAACACUAUGGUCACUUAGCAUCAUUCACAUAACCUUGGACACCCUCAUCAUAAUGCCAAGUAUCAAUUUAUGCCCUUAGCCACCCUCAUCAUGGUGCUAAGUAUCAUCAUAAUGUAUCCUUAGCUACCGAUACUAUAGUGACCAAUUAUCUAUCAUUUCUCUUCCAAUUUCCUAGUCAUUGUGUAUACAUAUUCCAUACCGAAGUAUGUAAGAUAAUCACAUUUAUUCCAAAGUUAUCAUGGCUAAUUCGAUACCUAUCAAUGAAUGCAAGGUAAUCAUAUUCAUUCUAAUAAUAACAUAAUUAAUUUGAUACAUAACAAUGCACACAAGGUACUCAUGUUCAUUCAAACAUUAUCCAUGUUUCCCUAAUUGAUCGAGUCCCAUCAACUCUUGAUGACCCUGCUCCAAGCAUGUCUUUUGUUUGAGAAUCAAGAGAUACAAUUAGUAUCCUCUUCUAAUUUUAUCACAAUGUGUGUUCUCAUACUAUUGCAAUCUGAUUCACAUGAAUUCGUUACCAUGUUUUAAUUUCAUUUUCCAAUUAUUUCCUUCAACUACCUCAUUAACUUGUAAGUAAAGUUAUAAAAUUUGGUUUUAAGUGUGGUUUGGAUCCUUGGAAAGGUAAGACACGAUUCCACAACUCUAUUGAAGGAUCGGAAGACUAAUUCUACCCUUAACACCCCCCCCCCGAAAUUAUCAGUUAUAAUACUCAACAAAAUCUGUCAAGUACAAGACAAUUCAACACUUCUUUCAUUUUCAGUCCAUAUCUGGAGUUCUAUAACUCCAAAUUAUACGAGGUUAGUUUUGUUUAAAAGAUAACAUCCAUACCUACAACCUUUGUGAAGAACCCAAUCUAGAAUUUUAUCAUUUUGGCUCCCUAACCACAGCUGAAAGGUGGGUGAUAAAACUGUUAAGUCCCAAUACAUAGAUUGGACAACCAAUAUGUCCCUUUUUUUGCUAUGAAUAAAGUCACAUUCAGACAUUGCGGCGACCGAUUGAAAAUUAAUCUCAAUAUGGAAAAAGAACAGAUAUUUGGUAUCUUGUUCUUUUAAGAGAAAAUGUCUUGUUUAAGGAGUUGUUACCUAGUAUUAUGGUCACUAUAAACUCUAACUAGUCAAUAGAGAUUCUAUGGUACGUGACUGGUUACACGAAAAAAAGAUAUAAUCACCCCUUAAGCAUCCUACUUGAGGCAGGCCGCAUUGCUAAUUUUGUCUAAAACUGCUAAGAGUUUGUUGUAUUACGUUUUUCAUGGUCCGCUUAGGAUAUUCCUGACUCUAGCGUCAGAGAAUAAUCAACUACAAAUAUUUCCAAGUCUGGCGUUGAUAAAUAUUGCAUAACCCAAAAAGUGCAGUAUUCCCGACUUUGAUGUCAAUGAAUAAAUCCGUAAAAUUCUGAAUUAAACAAAACAAAAAAUCCUUUUUCAUUUUUUUUUUUACUGGAUCUAGCCCAGCCAUACUCUAGUAACCCGAUUGGUCACUAUUGUGGGCAUGCAUGAAUCAUACUUGCAACAGUGACAGGGUAAUUAAAUUUGCAGACUGAGAAAAGUGAAUUAUAUUUGCAAAGGCAGGGAAGAGAAGGCUUACCUGGUUCGCUGGAGAAGAAGCUAGAUGAUAGGGUAACGGCUGACCAAUGCUACUUCUUAUCCUCCGUUCUUUCUCUGAUUUUUGGAUCGCUGGAGAAGAACUGUCGUUGGUUGCUGAUGGGAAGAGGAGGUUGCUGCUUGUUCUACCACUGCAGUUGAGGGAAGGUGGGGCUGAGGAGCACCCGUCGUCGCUGCUUCAAUGAAAAAAAAAGUGGAAAAUCAAGAAUGCUGGAACUUAGGAGUACUCUUGCUGAUGAUCACGGUUUUGAAUUAAAUGACCCCUACGGUUAAAGACAAAGGUGUGGUUCAUGAUUAAAUAUCUGCUGUUUAUUGAAGGAGUGCAUGCUGGACGGCUCAUAUUAUUUCAUAAGGGAUGAUGAUGUGCUGGAGAAGAAGGGAGUUGCACUGCUGAUCUACUGGCAUGGUCGUCGCUUGGUGCCGGAAGGAGGAAACUUGCUGUUGUUGCUACAAUAAUUAAUACUCUUCCCUUCUCGAAGGUCCCGUUCUCUUCCUUCUUCAAAGAGUGAGGGUGGUGAUGUCUAGGCUUUUUUGUGGAGAAAAGAGUGUUGAUGGGGUGGUUUGGUCCCCGGCGCGGAAAAGAAAAAAGUGAAGAUGGAGCUUCUUCCCCUAUGUUCUGUUCUUGCAAGCGGGGAAGAAUAAAGGAGGCUAGCUAAAGGCCACUAAGGGGAGGGGGCGUUUUAUGGCUGGUUCUGAGACCAGGGAAGAAGAGGAAAACGCUGGGGGAGGGUGGCGCAGCGGCGCCACCCUUUUUUUUGUAAAUGUCUUUCUUAAAUGUUUUUAGGGUUUUGAGUAAUGGCCUUUUCCUGGGGUUUUCUGCCUAAUCCUCCUUUUUUUCUUUUGCACACACUAAGGUCUAUAUUUAUAGUGCCCGAGUCCCUCCUCAUGUGAGAAACAAAGUUUCAAUCAAACUCAGAGUUUGAAUUUGAUUAAGAAUCAAAUUUGAAAGCGGAUAACAAUUAUUAUCUUGAAAACAAGGAUUAUCUUGAAGAUAUGAAUUAUCUUCACUACAAGAUUUCACAGUUUUACCGACGGAAAUAUUCCGUCGGUGUGUGACAGAACGUUCGUCGGUAAAGUAUUUACCGACUAUAUUACCGACGGAAUACUCCCGUCGGCAUACCUUUUGUCGGUGAUUCCACAUUCCGUCGCUAUAUCCGUCGGUAAUAAAGAAAAAACACAUUUACCGACGGUUUUACCGACGGCCUGUGCGCGCUAAAAAAAAAAGUUUCCCGCUUGAAAUAUACCGACGGAAUACAUUCCGUCGGUGUUAUGUAAAUACCGACGGACUAACUCCGUCGGCAAAAGUGUCGGUGAUAUUUCAUACCGACCGAAUAAAUCCGUCUGUAAAUUCCGUCGGGGAGUAUUUCCGUCGGGGAGUAUGUCGGUGAUGGGAUGGCAUACCUCAGACACUGUCCAAUGCCGACGGAUUUAUUCCGUCGGUAAAUCCCUAUGUAAUUUUUUUUUUUAAUUAUUUAGAAAAAAUAAUAUAAAUUAAUAGUAAUUCAAACCAAUUAUGCAAAUAAAAUUUAUAUUAAGCAACAAAAACUCAAAGUUAAAUAAUAUUCAUUACAAAAUGAAUGUGUUUAAAAAAAAACAAUUAAUAUAAAGGUGGAGGAGGAGGAGGAGGAGGAGGGUGGGGUUAGGCGGCCAAAAAGGAUUAGGCGCACAUGUUCCGCCUUGUGUCAUGUUCAUGACCAUUUGACGAAGCUCUUCAUAGGCCGCUCUUUGUUGUUCAGACUCUGCUCUGCGUUGUUCGUCCGCCAAUCUGUGUUGUUCGUUCGCCAAUCUUUGCUCUUCUUUGAGUUGUGUGUACGCCUCUGAUAGGUGGUCGCACCUUUGCUGCAAGGCCACAAACUCCUUAGAUUGGGAGCUCGAUACAGAUUGGGAGCUCCCACCGGUUGAAGCAGUACCGGUCGACCGCAACUUGGCAGUGGUAGUGUUGGAGAGCCCGUAAACCCGAUUUUUAUCGGGUCCACCUGACGAUCCAGCCUCCAUCCACAAAUCCGGAUCGAAUUCCGGAUGGGUCGAAGGAUCAUCCCCGUAUCUCUCCCUCAACCGAUUAUUAUAGGUCUCCUGAAAAAAAAAUCAUAUUCAAUUCAAUAAACAUAAUAAUAACUUACAAAAUAAAAUGGUUAAACAAACACACCACAAACUGUUGAGCACGGUUGUCAACGAACUGUUGCGUCCCCUUUUGGCGGUCAUGACUCCGCACGUGCGUCUCCACAAACAGCUCCAUAGGGCUCGGCUCACGUCCAAGAGACGUAGCCUAUAUAUAAUGAAAAAAAUGUAUUAACAACAAAUUAAUUGAAUGAUAUAUUUCAUUUAAAUUAAUCUUACCAUCCGUUUCGCAUGUGCAGCAAACGGAACGGAGCCGCCGGUGUGCGUUGUAACCGAGCCAUGAAUUUGCCGAUUCCGGUUGCCGGCACCGGACUGUGAGCGUCGAGUGAACCGCUCAGACGUCACGUGCUGAAGAUAGUGCGGCCAUAUAUCUUUCGGGAUGUAUAUUGGUUUGAAAUCCCUCCAAACCGCAACAUCGUUCCAGCCUUGUAACCCCUUAUCCCUCGCUGUUUUUUUUGCUUUUCUCUGGGAGUCAUACCAAAAAUCACGCAACCUAAUUCACGCACGAAAAAAUUACAUUUCAAAACAUAAAUAAUUAUGUAAAAAAAAGUCGUAUUGUUUUCGAUGUUACCUAAUUGCUGCGUGAUUUUCCCACACCCUCCUCACAACACUGUCAUGUUCAUUGUCCCAGCAGAAUCGAUGCUGUAUAUAAAAAAAUAAUUUUUUAAAAUGUUAAUAAUUUAUUUACAAUUAUAACAUGAAUUUAUAAUUAGAAAUAAGCUGAAAAUUAUAUAUUAACACAAACCUCAAAUCUACGAAACCAUGCAUUGAUUUGAGGCAUCCAUUCAGGAUGUCUGGAUAUCUGACUCCAUUGAAACAAUGGAAUCUCCAUCGACGCUUUAAACGCCGAUGAUAUUAAUCGGGCGGCCUCAAUGUUUGUGAACCUGAAAAGAAAUGAAAUUAAUUUGUGAUUACUUCAUAAAUUAUGUUUUAAAUUUGUUUUUUUUAUAUAAAAAAAACUAAAACAUUAACAAACUUACAUUGAAAGAUCGUCCUUCCACUGUGCCUCGAACUGGCGGGUAAAUUGAUUCCGCUUCGAAGGCAUGCCGCGUCUGCGAUGUGAAACAUCGCUGGAAGAGGCAGCAUCGGUUGACGGCGCAGGUGGUGUAGGUGCCUCUUCUUGAGAGGCACCUAAGGAAACAUCAUCAUCGCUGCUAGACGAACUUGAUUCGACUGGACGACCAGCUCUGGUUUUCAUUUUGCGCAUCUAAACAAUUUUAUAUUAAUAAUUGUAAAAUAAAAUUCAAAAGUUAAAAAAAAAUCGGCAGCACCUCCCCUAUACUGGAUACUACCCAAAUCCACAAACCUGCAAAUAUUAACAAUAGCCACAACCAAUCGAACCAAUCUAUACUAAUUAUUCCAACAUAUUCAACUAUUAAUCCUAAGAUAAAUUCAACGUUAACAAUUACAAUUCACAAAUUAAUCAAUAAUUAUAUUCAAAACAAUAAAAAAUAUAACAAAAAAUAAAUUCAAUAAAUUCAACAAAUUAACAAUUACAAUUCAACAUUAACAAUUGUAAUUCAACAAAUUCAAAAAAUUCAAAAAAAUUCAAAUAUUCAACUUUAACUAAUUCUAAGUUAAAUUAACUAAUAACAAUUCUAACACAACAACAAAAAAUAUUCAAUAAAUUCAACAAUUAAAUUCAAUUAUUCAACAAUUAAAUUAACAAAUAUUCAACAAAUUCAAAAAAUUCAAUUUUAACUAAUUCUAAGUUAAAUUAACUAAUCACAAUUCUAACAACACAACAACAAAAAAUAUUCAAUAAAUUCAACAAUUAAAUUCAAUUAUUCAACAAUUAAAUUAACAAAUAUUCAACAAAUUCAAAAAAUAUUAAAAAAAAAGGAACGAAAUAUACAUACCUUAAUAAUGUGUCAAAUUCAAAACUUUAUCUACAUUGCAACAAAAAACACCAACACAACAAAAAUAAAAACAACUAAAAAUAAAAUAAAAUAAAAUAAAUUAGAAAAAAAACACAUACCUUUUAAUAUAAUGAAGAUUUACAACACCAAAUCUUGCUAGAGAUUAAAGGUGAAAGUGUUUAAGGAUUGAGGGGGAAAAAAUGAAAAAUCUAGGCUGAAAAACGCGGAGAAGAGAAGAAGCGGCGGGGAGAAGAAGAAAAAAUGAGGCGAAGCGGCGGGGGUGGAACUUAUAGGUCAAUUUUACCGACGGAAUCCCCGACAGAAUUAACAUCCGUCAGUAAAAGGUCAAAAAUCCGUCGGUAACAGGUCAAAAUUCCGUCGGUAUUUUUCGAAUUUCGCCCGAAUUUUUAAAAGCCCUCCAAAAUUUUCGCAGUCCGUCGGUGAUUCCGUCGGUAAUCUGACAAGUUCAGAGGCGCAUUAAUUAACGCACUUUGGGAAACGCGCGGUCCGUCGGUAAUUCUGUCGGUAAAAUGGGUAACCGACAAAUUACCGACGGACCUACGCCGUCGGUAAUCCCGUCGAUGGUGGUGUUAUGUUUUCGAGCUUACUGUGAGAUGCCGACGGAUUUUAUUCCGUCGGCAUGGCCGUCGGUGAUUGUGGCAUUUUGUUGUAAAUAUUUUCGAACUCUCUGUGAGAUACCGACGGAUGGUGAUCCGUCGGCAUGGCCGUCGGUGAUUGUGGCAUUUUGUUGUAAAUAUUUUCGAACUCUCUGUGAGAUACCGACGGAUGGUGAUCCGUCGGCAUGGCCGUCGGUGAUUGUGGCAUUUUGUUGUAAAUAUUUUCGAACUCUCUGUGAGAUACCGACGGACGGUGAGUCCGUCGGUAUGGACGUCGGUAAGUUUGCAUUAUGCAGGAAAGUUUGUCUUUGUAUUGCCUGUUUACCUUCCUGCAAAACUUAACUGAUAAACUGUCCAUCACAUAAACACAAUAACCACAUUGCUUAAACAGUAAAUAUUUUGUUUUACAAAAUACAUCAUCAAUAAUCUAAAUUACAUGAGACAAAUGUUUUUACAUAGGGCUUCAUUUUCAUAAUUAGUCGGAAUUUUCUUCUUCUUCCUCGUCAAUUGAAUUGUCAUCAUCUUCAUCGCAAUCUUCAAUAUGGAUAUCAUCUUCUUCAUCGACAUUUGGUUGUCCGCUAGAGCUGAGAACAACAUUCAACUCCUCUCCGUCAAUAUCAACAAGACUAUCAUCGAGAACUCGAAAAUUUGAAUUUUCUUCCAAUUCAAUCGAAGGAGCAACUCGAUAUGGUUCAACCAACUCACGAACUUGAAAGACUUCAUCUCGCACACUUGUGUCUUCGUUCUCAUCCUGAACAACCUCGACACGACCCCGUGGUUUCGUUUUUAAAACGGACAACCAAUCAACUCUUGAACGAUCCUUUCUAAAUGAAGGGGUGUAUGUGUAAUAAACUUGUUGACAUUGCUUUGCGAAAACAAAGACAUCGUUUAUGUUGCGGAGUCUAGCUUUUGAGUUGAUUUCGACCAGACCAUGGUGCGGAUCAACUCUGAUUCCUCUGUCCGUCGUGUCAUACCAAUAGCAUUUGAAUAAAAACACUUUAUUCUGCUCGCUAUGAUAUUGCAGUUCGACGACCUCUUCUAAUCUACCAUAGUAGUCAACUUCUAACUGGCUACUUGUGGAUCCCUUAACACAAACACCGCAGUUGUAUGUCUUUCUUCCUUGCCCGUAUUCUUCAGUAUGGAAAACAUAUCCAUUGACAAAAUACCCGUUGUAGCACUUAACUUUUCUUUCAGGGCCGAGGCUUAGUGAAGACAAUGACUUGGGCGCACUCCUUCCCAUUUGAUAAACCUUGUAAAUAUAUGUAAUUAAAUGUACAUCAAUACACGGUAAAUGAACGAGAAUCUCGUAAUGACAUGCAUACGUUAGAAUGAGUUUGUGAUAGUGCUUACAUGUGUUCUGAACCAUGUGGCAAAUUGUUCAUCUUGUAAUUGAAAGAUCUGGGAUUCGGUCAGCUGCGAGUUAUUGGAGAGAAAUAUUGUCGAUGUUGCCUGCAAGUGAUAAUGAGUGUAUGAUAUUACAAUAUAUAAUUAACAGUAUAUUACUGACAAAGUUUAAUUACUAUUACACAUAUAUAGACUUACUGAAUAAAUGGUCUCAGCUCAUCACAGUUAAAUAGAACAUAGUUGUGUGCUUGUUUGAAUUCUAUUUCCGACAAAUAUCUUCCUCUUACGGCAUUUUUAGGUGUGGGUCGUCCAGUAUUGGAGAAUAUUGACAAGUUCCCACUGGAAGGCACUUCACCGCCAUCGUCAUGCCGUGGAACGCGAUUGAUUCUUGUUCUCAGAUGAGGUUCGAAAUAGUACGAGAUAAAUGUUGAUAUCUCUUCAACAAUAUAGGCCUCAGAUAUCGAAGCCUCAACAUGCGCCUUGUUCUUAACCUUUUUUUUUAGAUUAAACAAGUACCUGCAUUGAAGUACAAUUCAAGUAUUUUCAAAUAAGAAAAACAUAGAAAAUACUUUAAGAUAUGAAUUCCAUUGCAACUGUAAUAUCUCACCGUUCGAAUGGGUACAUCCAUCUAUACUGGACCGGUCCUCCAGCUUUUGCCUCGAACGGUAGAUGUAUAGGGAGAUGCUCCAUUGAGUCAAAAAAUGAAGGAGGGAAUAUCAUCUCAAGUUUGCAUAGUGUCUCGAUGAUAUUCGUUUGAAGCAUCUCAAUGUGCUCAACAUUCAUCUUGCUGGAGCAUAUAUCUCUGAAGAAAUGACUGAUCUCCGUUAGUGCAUCCCAUAUUCCCUUUGGCAACAAAUCACGAAAAGCUAAUGGGAUGAGUGUUUGCAUAAACACGUGGCAGUCAUGGCUCUUCAUUCCAUACAAUCUGCAGUCCUCUAUGUUAACAAGCCUUGAUAUGUUCGAUGCAUGUCCAUCCGGGAAACGCAGACUCUUAAGCCAUUUGUAGACUAGCAGUUGUGCGUUUUUCUCUAACACGAAGCUUGCCCUUGGUUUUGCAACCCGUGACUCGUCAUAAACCAACUCCAUAUUUUUACGGUUACAGUAUAAAGCUAUAUCCAAUCUAGCCUUCAUGUUGUCCUUUGUCUUCCCCUUCACAUCCAUGACGGUGUUGAAAAUAUUCUCAAACACGUUCUUUUCGAUGUGCAUGACGUCAAGGUUAUGGCGGAGAAGAUUAGUCUUCCAAUACGGAAGCUCCCAAAAGAUACUUCGCUUUACCCAAUUAUGGGUCAAACCAAAACCAGGAAACUUUUGCUUACCUGAUUGAAGGCCAAACACAAUGUCACCGUACUCUGAUACAACAUGAUGCAAUUCUUCACCAGAAAGACGCGGGGAUGCAACAUCUUUUUCAACUCUACCAACAAAGAAAUCUUUUCUGUUCUUUCUGAACCUGUGAUUAAGUGGCAAGAAGCGACGGUGACAGUCAAAAAAAGAAGCUUUACCUCCGUUUGCUAGCGUGAAUGCCUUGUUGUUUUCCAUGCAGUAUGGACAUGCGAGUUUCCCAUGCGUGCUCCAACCAGAAAGCAUUCCAUAAGCUGGAAAAUCACUGAUAGUCCACAUCAAAGCCGCCCUCAUAAGGAAAUUUUGUUUCCUCGAUAUAUCAUAAGUCAGAGAUCCGGAGGACCACAACUGCGCCAGCUCAUCUAUCAACGGUCGAAGACAAACAUCUAUAUUCCGCCCCGGGCUGCUUGGACCGGGUAUGACAGUAGAUAGAAACAUGAACUCCGGCCUCAUACACAUUCCCGGUGGCAAGUUAUAAACUGUGAGAAUGACCGGCCAACAAGAAUAGGGAGCAGCAAAUGACCCAAAUGGGUUGAACCCGUCUGUACACAACCCAAGUCGAACAUUCCUUGAUUCAGCAGAAAAGUCAGGAUGAACACUGUUAAAGCGUUUCCACGCUUCGCCGUCAGAAGGAUGCACCAUCACACCAUCAACGACAUCGUGUGUUUGGUGCCAUGUCAUGUGCUCAGCAGUCCUUGGUGACAUAAAUAACCUCUGCAGUCUAGGUGUGAUCGGGAAAUAUCUAAGUUUUUUAUAUGCCACUAGAGUCUUCCCCCUGCCAGUUCUGGGUUUGUAACGGGAAUGCCCGCAUGUCAUGCACUCGGUCAUCACAGCAUUUUCAAGGUAGUAUAACAUGCAGAAGUUAGGGCACAUGUCAAUUUUCUGGUAUCCUAAACCGAGGGGUUUCAUCAUGGACUUCGCAGCAUAGAAGUUCUCUUUGAGCCUGUUCCCUUCUGGUAAAAUGCUUCUUGCCCAAUCAAUAAUUUUGUCAUACCCGGCCUCACUCAACCCGUGAUCUGACUUGAUGGUGAACACCUGUGCCACAGCCGAUAAUUUACUGUGGUUUGUGCAGCCAUCCCAUAAUGGUUCGUCAGAAUCUUUCAACAAAUCAAAAAACCUAGCUGCCUCUGCAUUAGGUUCUUCUUCUACGAUUGGACAUUGAUUGACAUUAUCUUGAUUCAUUCUCAUUGCAUCCAUAACCAUGUUUCUGUAAGGAUUAGUGUUGUCAUUUGCCGCUUCAUGCACGUUGCUAGCACUAGAAGUUGACCCAACCACCGUUUCUCCCAUUCUCCUAUUACUAACAAAUACCUCUCCAUGUGCAUACCAACACUCGUAAUCCUCCACAAACCCUUUGUGUAGAAGAUGCAUCAUUACAACAUCUGGAUGCAGAUACUUUUUAUUUUGACACUUCCUGCAUGGACACCUAAUACCGCCUCCAGUAAAAUUUCUGGGAAUAGAUGUUGCGAAAUUAAUAAAACCCUGAACCCCGUUACAAUAAUCCAUCCUCCGCAAUCCUUGGGGUGAAUCUAGAUACAUCCAUGAACGAUCAUCCAUGACUUCUAUCGAACCUCUAUAAAAAGGACCCAUUAAUUAAGCAAGCUCUUAAUUAUUUCAAAACACAACAUGUAAUUCGGUAAUUCUACAAAUUAAGUUUUAACAAUUUUCAAACAAAUACAAUCUUACAAAAUCUAAAACAAACCAUAACAAGUAUAAAAUUAUACAUUCAUAUACUACAAGUUUGUUUGAGAAAUAACAAUAAAACAUGUACAUCUACUAAAAAAAAAUACAUAUACUAAAAAAACAAUAAAAUUGACAUUUAAAUGUUAAAAUUUUAAAAGAUAGAAUUACUUACAAAAAAUGAUAAAAUCCGUCGGUAAAUCAGAACACGGAUGCUGUGACCACAAAACAAAUACAACUUGUUGUGCUGAGAUGAGGAAAUUUUUGUUUUGGGGCGAGGGGGGUGGUUAUUUUGCAGAUGGGGAGGGUUAGGAUUAGGAAGAAGAAGGAGAAAUGGGGGAGAGAGUGUCGGCAGAGUGGCCAUAUAUUCACUUUUGCCGACGGACUUACCGACGGUAUUCCGUCGGUGAAUCCGUCGGCAAAACCGUCGGUAAUUCUGACGGGCAAUCGACACGUCACCGCACGGACCUGCUGUUCAAAUCCCUCGGUGAUUCCGUCGGUAUUUUUAACGGUGCACCCGUCACGUCACUGGUACGGAUCUGGCAUUUCAAAUCCGUCGGUGAUUCCGUCGGUAUUUGUUGACGGUGAAUAGGUCCCAUCACGCGUACGGGCCCCAGUUUUUAAUUCCGUCGGUGAUUCCGUCGGAAAACUCACCCGCCAAAACCUCCGCGCCACUGCCCGCCCUUUUUUCAUUAAUUCUGAAUUUUCGGUCGGUAAUUCGGUCGGUAAUUACCGACGGACGUCGUCCGUCGGUAAGUACCGACCGAAUUACCGACGAAUAUUGUCCGUCGGUGAUAUCGGCCGAAAAAUACCGACAAAAAAUUCCGUCGGUAUGUCCGUUGGUAUUUAGCGAUUUUCUGGUAGUGCUUGAAGAUAAGGAUAGAAUGAUAAAAGUACAUUGUCGUCCCUAGUUUUCACACAAGUUGGCAAAUCACACUUUUCAUGGAACUAAAUCUCUGAUAUUUUAAUUUUACAUUUUAAACCCUGUAAAAUUAAAUUAAAAAGUUAAUGGGUCAAAAUUGGGUUAGAACAAAUAAUAUGGCCGAACAUGCUUAAGGAAAGACACUAAGGAUUUUCUUCAAUUUAAAUCAUAAUUAGCAUGCUUUUGAUUGUUAAACACAAAUCAAGCUACCACACUUUCCAGUCAUUUCAUUUAUGCUAACCUAAUUUAAACAAAUGUUUAUUAAGAUUCAUGUUUCUCACAACUCAAUUCGAAUGAAUACAAUCCAAAUGGUGAAGUUAACCACCAUUAUAACAUGAAACACAUACCAAAACAUCAUAGUAUUUUAACAGUUAGAUCUUUCUAGAUCAAGAUACAACCAAAAUGGAUACGAAAAUUGACAAUAUGCUGAUAUAACUAACUUAUUGUUUUGUUUUCUAAUUGUUGGUCAGUCUAAGGGUUACAAAAAGUCUUUCUUAGUAAGGAGAUCCUUAUCUUAUCAGGUAAAAACCUAACCGUUCUAAUGUCAAUAUAUAUAUAAAAAAAGAACUAUCUUUUUAUUUAAUAUGAAGAAUACAUCUUAUGAAUAAGUUUAUAAUCCUACAUACAAAAGAAAACAAAAUAUAUUUUUUAGUAUUUUUGAAAUAUAGGCGUAGUUCUCAUUGCUUUAAUAAACUGGUUAUUAAAGCCCAAAAUGCAUGCUAACAUAUAUUUUUUUGAUUUUUAUUUUGUAUGAAAUACAAUAUGAAAUUUCUUAUAUUUUUGAGAGACUUGGCCAUAUGCAUGAAAACAAGAUAUUUGUUUUUUGUUGUUUUUCUAUAUAUUUGUUUUGCAACAUUUUGGAGAAAAAACAGGUAUUUUAAAAACAAAUUUGUAUCUUUACAGUGUAAAAAUACAAACCAAAAGAAAUUGGAUCGAGGUCAACCCAAAAGAGUUGGGCCGAUGUCGACCCAAUAUAUUCUUUUUCUCUUUUUUUUUUAUAAGGCUAGACCCAACCCAAAAUACCAUUAAAUGGUUACUUUGCUUAGCACAGUAACUAUUUACUAUGCAAAACAUGAAUUGCUCAAAUUCUACAUGCAAAUGAAAUGGAGAAGGAAAGUAGGUAAGAAGAUGUUAAAUAUAGGGGAAGAAGAUUACUUGGAGUGAGGGUACUGUGGUUGCUGACGUUGACGGUGGCAUUGUUGUGGUGGCGACUAGGAGGAAUGGUGGCUGCUACUACUAACUAGCAAUAGAGAGGUGGAUAGGAGGUUACUUUUAUUCUCCAAGUAGAGGCCAAAAAGUGUUCCUUCCUUUUUUUUUCUUUUUUUUUUCCUUUGUUUUUCUUUUUCUUCCCCUUCUUUCUUUUGUUUUCCCUUGUUUUUCUUUCUUUCCUUUUCUUUUUUGUUUUCUUUCUAUCUUUUUUUACCCCCAACCUCCUAGUAAGGAUGGUAUUUAUAAAGGGCUGGGGGGGCUACCCUACCCUUGUCUAGUCAUGGCGAAGGGGUAGGGUAGCUAGGGUGACCCCUAUGCAGCCGCCCUAGAGUUGCUUGUAAGGCUUCUCCCCUCUGCCCCUUUCAUCAUGGUGGUAGGCCAUGAUGAUAUGAGGGUUGUGUCAGGGUUUUUAGGCAAGUGGGAGAGAGAGAGAGAGAGAAAGAGAAAGGUGCUACAAAGGAGGGGAAAAAAAACCUUUUUCCCUUGUUUGUAGUUAAUUUAGAUUUUGAUUUUAAGAAUUAAUUCAAUUGCAUUUCUGUCAAAUUUAAAUGUCAGCCUUGAAGUUGGUUGCCUUUUCACUUUGAUCCUUGGUUUUGAAUUUGUGUAUUUUGACCUUUAAUUGAUCAACAAACUUCCAAUUUCUUCAAUCUAGUCCCUGAUUCGAUCAAUUUCAACCCUUAUAUUCACGCGCCUUUUCCAGUUUGGUCAUUGGUUUUGGAUUUCUUCAAUCAAGUCUCUAAUUGCUUUUUUCAAAAUGGUCCUUGGCUGAAAAUUUCAUUAAUGCAACCCUUAAUUGACUCCAAAACUUUAAUUUUUCUAUAUUUAAAAUCCUUCCUUAGCCAAUAUUUUCCACGUCGCUAGUCUCCUUGAGAUAAUUAUUUUAUUUUUAUUUUGAAAAAGAAUAAGGUAAAAAAUGGUAGGGAAUAACCCAAAAAUGAGUUUUGACAUCAACAACCAUGAAGGAUGUCAUGAAAAAAUCAAUAAAGAUGUCCAAGAUGAAAAAACAAGUAAAGACUAAGAAUUAAUUGUUCAUUUCAGUGAUUAUGUAAAUCUUUAUAUUUUAUCUUAAUAGCACAAUUAAAAUGAACUCAAACACUUCACUUUACAUGUAUAUAGGAUCAGUAUCAGUUCAAGAUUUAGCAGGUUUAAAUUGUCAAUAUCUAGUAUUUAAGUUGGUCCGGUCGACCAUUUGGUAAUACCAAAUGAACUAGUUGUUCGGUUUGGUGUUGACAACCUUUCCUCUCUCCUUGAUUCUCGCUUGUACCUCUUCAAAAUUUGAAAGCAUGCCUUCAAUUUGUUAUUCCUUUAUAUUUGGUGCCUGUUUUUUUAUCAUUGUUUGUUUUGUUUGGAAUAACUUAUUAAAUUAGAAUUAUUUAACAAUUUUACCCCCCCUUCAAUUUUUUUAUCUUUUAAAUUUUGUUCCUAUUCUUUUGAUUACUAUUUUUUUUUAGAUAAUUUUUUAAUUUGAUUUUCUUUUACAAUAUCAUCCUCUAUAAGUUUUUGUUUUCCUAUCAGAUUAGAUCCCUCAUUAUUUUGAUUGUCAUUUUUUUUCACUUUGGCAAUUAGUUGAGAAUUGUGCUUCUUAAUGAAGUUCAAGUUUAGGAUUUCAUAAGUUGCGAGUUUUAAAGAUUAACCCAGGUUUAGGACGUUCACCCGAGUUUGCUUGGUUUUUUCUCUUUUUUUUAAUCUCAUGUUUAUUUCAGUUUCAUCCUUUAAUAUUUAUUUAAUUAGAUAUUGGGCUCCAUUGAUUUUUAUUUUAUUUUUUUCUAUAAGAUUUUCACUUAUUUUGAAAUCACUCGGGAUAUCUCGAGUAUUUUUUUUUUUUAUUUCUCUUUUUUGUAGACAUAUUUUCAUGUCAUUUAAAUCAAUUAAUUAAAUAAAUAUAGGCAAGUGAUGCUCAUUUCAUAAUAUUUUGAAAUACAAAAUAAAUAAAAAUAUAUAUAUAUAUUGGGUAGACAUCGUUUUAUUGGCACGGAUAAUUUUUUAUUUUGAUUUGUUUUUACAAUAUCAUCUUCUAUAAGUUUUUUUUUCCUAUUAUAAUUGAUCUCUCAUUCUUUUGAUUGCUAUGUUUUUUCACUUUGACAAUUUUUUUAAAUGGAUUUUUUUCCUAUUUUCUUUAUUCAACAUUAAAUUAGUUGAGAAUUGUGCUUCUUAAUCAAGCUCAAGUCUAGGAUUUCAUGAGUUGUAAGUUUUAGAGAUAACCGUGGUUUAGGAGGUUUGUCCAAGUUUGCUUUGUUUUUUUCUUUUUUUUUAAGCUCAUGUUUAUUUCAGUUUCAUCCUUUAAUAUUUUUUUUUAUAUAUGAUUUUUUACUUAUUUUGAAAAUGACUCAGGAUAUCUCGAGUAUUUUUCUUUUUUUUCUUUUUCUAAUUUCUAUUUUUUAUAGAUUUUUUUCAUUUAAUUUAAUUAAUUAAAUAAAUAUAAGCAAGUGAUGCUCAUUUUAUAAUAUUUUUAAAUACAAAAUAAUAAAAACAUUGUAUUGGGUAGACAUUGUUUUAUUAACACGGAUUAUCAUUUGGUUAAAUACAAAUUUAUUUAAAUAAAAUAAUUAUUAAACACAAUUAGAUAUAUGCUCCGUGUUGUUAUGAUGUUAAAUAUUUUAAUAUUUAUUGAAAAGAUAUUUCCAUAAAAAAAUCUUCAUGAUACUUUUAGACACAGAAAUACAGCUUUUACACUUGCAAAAUAUUAUGUCGGGCGUAAAUUAAUUUUCUUGGGAGUAUGGCCCUAUUCCUGCAUUCAAUUGCUUUCAUUAGACGUGAGAAGCAGGGCAUUCCUCUAAUUGGCUGUUUACUAGUCUUCUUUCUCAUUAAUUGAGAUAUCUAGUUAGUCACUUGUGGUUCAAACCAAGGGUAUUUGUAUAUUUUCAUUGGGUAUUUUUUGUUAUCACGGUAGUUUAUUUCCAAUUUUAUAAUUUAAUAAAUAUUAAAAAAUAUUAAAAAAAUAUAGUUAAUAAGUACAGGUUAGUGUGCAGGCAAUCCCCGCACACAUGAGGUGGCACAUGCAGGGAUGCUCGUUGACCAAUUGCCACCAUGAAUGAUGCGGCGUAUGUGGCAAAUAGCUUUUUAGAUUGGUGCUGACGAUUUUUUUUUAAAAUUUUUUCUCUCAUUAAUUUUCGUUGGGGCUCUUUAAAAUUUCAAAGCACGCCUUCAAUUUGUUAUUCAUUCGGAUUUAGUUUUUAUUAUUUAAUUAUUAUUAUUUUUAUUUUAAAUAAUUUAUAAAAUUAGAAUUUUUUUGACAAUUUUAUCUUAUUUUAGUUUUUGAAAUAAUGUCUUGCAAUCAACACAACAUUAUGAAACUUGUGGAUUUGGAAUAAUUCCAGAGUUACAUUCAUUAGAGAAUUAGAUUUGAAAUAAUUCAUUCAUUCCAGAAGCAGGGACCAGUCUGCUUCCUUGUCAAUUUUGAAGAGUCUCGCACUCAUCACGGUGUGAUAAUUUUGAAGAGUCUCGCACUCAUCACGGUGUAAUGCUGGAGGAGAACCGCCACUGUUGGCUGUUUACUAGCAAUUGAGAUAUCUAGAUACUCACUUGUGGUUCAAACCAAGGGCAUUUGUAUAUUUCAUUGGGUUAUUUUUUUUUAUCAAGGUGGCUUAUUUUUAAUUUUAUAAUUUAAUAAAUAUAAAUAAUAUUAAAAAAUAAUUGAUAAGUGCAGGUCAGUGCAUGUACGGUCUCCGAGCACUUCAGGUGACAGACCCAAUUUUAUAAUUUAUUUUUUUAUAAAUAUAAAUAAAUUAUAAUUUGAUAAUUUGUCAUUCAUUGCCAAAUGUCAUCGUGGAUGAGACGGUGCGUGUUGAAGAUGGUUGUUAUUACAAACUUUUCUUUUUCUUUUUUCUCUUCGUGAUUUUAACGUGUUCCACUGUUUGGCUGUUUACUAGUCUGCAAAUUUAACACUAUUUAUUAAGUGGCAAACACAAUCUUUUUAAAAUAUAGAGUGUUUCUUGCUUACCUCAAAUCUCUUAAAAGAUACUGAAAAAGUGUUAAUUCGACGCAUCUCGACAAUGGAGAGUCGUAUGCCCAUUGCAAUAAUUACCUUCACCCUCGUCAUCUUCCUCUAUGGCAAGUAGUUUUACAAUAUUACAUAUUUUAGAAUCUUGCAUGGAAAACUCUAUUAUGCAUAUUAUUCACUUUGAUUAUUCUGCUCGCUCUUAUAUAUAUAUAUAUUUUCUGUUUGCAUAUGCAAUAUAAAUUACUUUUCAUUAUUCAAUGGAUUUCGUGAAUCCAAUAAACUUGUCCAGGAGGGAGUUUCCGGAUAAAAAAAGAAAAAAGAAAAAAAUAUAUUAAAAAAUAAACCUGGUUAUGUUAUCUUUUUAAAAGAAAAAUAAGUGAAUUAAUGCAAGAUUUUAAAUAUUGAAUUAAGUACGGACGCCUAGUCCCAUAGAGAAAACGAAGCCCAAGUCUUAGAUUCAAGUCCUAUUCUUUUUAUUAUAUGAAAAAAAAAGAAAUAGAUUCACAUAAAUUAGCAUGAAACAAGAGUUUGAUGUUUUUAAAACUUGUUUGUGUUUUUAUUUGAAUCGACCAAGAUUUAAUUAUUGAUAUCAACAAAAAUAAAUCUUGCGCAGCUUGCACGCAUGCUGGAGCUCAAUCUGUGACUUUCGACUUCAAAAACAACUGUCCAUACACAGUCUGGCCAGGAACUCUAACGGCUGCUAGCGGUCCGUCUUUAUCUUCAACUGGCUUCACAUUGGCAACGGGUGCUUCAUCUUCGCUGAGUGUCCCUGUCAAUUGGUCUGGCCGCUUGUGGGCCAGAACGCAAUGCUCUACAGAUGCCUCGGGAAAGUUUGUUUGUGCUACAGCUGACUGCGCCUCUGGCGUCGUAGAAUGCAACGGAGCCGGUGCGAUCCCACCAGCAUCCUUGGCAGAAUUUACUCUAAGAGGUGAUGGUGGGAAAGAUUAUUACGAUAUAAGCCUUGUUGAUGGCUUUAACAUCCCGAUUUCGAUAACCCCGCAAGGAGGUUCUACUGGCUGCAAUUCUACAAGCUGUGCAGCUAAACGUGAAUGCUGUUGUGAUCCUAGUUUACAAGUGAGGGUUCAGAUGGGACUGUGAUUGCCUGCAAAGAGCGCGUGUUUGGCAUUUAAACCAGCCGCAGUUUUCUGCUGCACAGGAGACUAUAAUACACCUGACAAAUGUCCUCCUAGCCAAUAUUCGAUGACUUUCAAGCAGCAGUGUCCUCAAGCUUACAGUUUAUGCUUAUGAUUAAAUCGAGCACGUUUACUUGUCCUAGUGGAGGCAACU